AUGCUUUGUGUGGGUUUUUGGGUCGGGAACUCAAAUGCACCAGUCACUGUGUCGAUUACUUCGACUACUGGGGGAAAGGAACCAAAGUCACCGUUUCCUCAGCUCAACCAUCGGCGCCGGAAGUCCAUCUUCGCCCUGUCUCAGUGUUCUGCUGAUUCUAGUGGGUUCCUCGCCGUCGGCUGCUUGACCAGAGGUUUCUCCCCUGCGGACUCACUCACUUUCAAGUGGAAGGCUCCUGGUGAUAAAGAUCUGGAUACUUUCGUGCAGUAUCCAGCGUUUGGGAGUGACGGAGACUAUACCAAAAUCAGCCAUCUGCGUGUGAAAAAAAGCGUCUGGAAUCCUCAAAACCCUUACAUAUGUGAAGCUUCAAAUUCAAAAGGCACUUUAACAACUAAAGUAUUUCGAACAGUGAAACCACAAACACCAACCCUGAGCUUGGUUCCUGUUACAACUCCAAAAAGUACAUCUGUCAUGUGUGUUAUUGAGGAUUUCUACCCCAAGAAUCUCACUGGACAAUGGAAAGUAAAUAAUAACAGCACGAGCCUAAAACUGGAAAGCAAACUAAAUGAAGAUACAGGUCUUUACACAGCAUACAGUUUUUAUGAAGUCAGCAGUAAUACAUGGAAUGCAAAUAAUUCCUAUUCCUGUGAGGUCACACAUCAGGGAAAAACGAUUAUUGAGAAGAAGAACUUUAAAGCUUGUAAAUUCACACUGACGCUGAAUCCACCCAUUGAGAGAGAACUAUUUGUCAAUGAUAAAGUUGUCUUGGAAGCUGUUGUUUCUGGAGAUGUACAAAAUACAGUGCAAGAAGCUUCAGUGUCAUGCACAGUGAAGAAUGAACCUGUAAAAAGUGAGAAUAUCAGACCAGGAAAUGUCUUUACUGACACUUCAAACUUGCAGACAAGAAUCCACAAUGUCACCAUUGAUAAAAAGACAUGGUUUGAUGGUGAAAAGGUCACCUGCACCAUCCGUGACGCAAAUAAUAAGAGAGACAUCAAGCAGGGGAUCCAUUUUGAUAAAGGAGAUGGACAGAAACCCACUGUUACCAUUUACAGACCUGAUACUAGCAACAGUGUCAGCGACAGUGUCUCUCUGGUGUGUGAGGUCACAAGCCAUACACUGGGUGAUGUCUAUAUCAUGUGGAAAGUGGGCGAAGAGCCUUACAUAGAGGCCAGCACCAGUGUUCCUAUUCAUCAAAAGAGCUCCACGUCUGUUCUCAGCAUCCUAACAGUGUCAAAACAAAAGUAUGAUCCUCUAACCACCAUCACCUGUGCCGUCAAACACGCCAACAUGGACGAUGAAGGAUCUCCAUUACAAGUGUCAACCAGCAAAAGGGAGCCACCUGAGCCGGAGAAGGGCUUUGCUCUGAAUUGUAAUAAAGAUGUUCUGGAGGAGGAUGAGUUCAGAAGUCUCUGGUCCACUGCCACUUCCUUCAUCUUCCUAUUCCUCUUUUCUCUGACAUACAGCGCUGUACUUAGUCUUUUCAAGAUGAAGCACUGAUGAUUUUUAAAAAGAACUUCUGAAGACUCCAAGGUUUCUUAUUCUGAUGUUGAAUCUACAUAAUUUGCCUCUAUUCACAUUUUUUAAAGACAUUGACAAAUAUGUAAUCAGUCUUCACACUCAUCAGUAAAGUCUUA